CCUACGGGUGGCAGCAGUCGAGAAUCAUGCACAAUGGGGGAAACCCUGAUGGAGCGACGCCGCGUGGGGGAAUGAAGGUCUUCGGAUUGUAAACCCCUGUCAUGUGGGAGCAAAUUAAAAAGAUAGUACCACAAGAGGAAGAGACGGCUAACUCUGUGCCAGCAGCCGCGGUAAUACAGAGGUCUCAAGCGUUGUUCGGAAUCACUGGGCGUAAAGGGUGCGUAGGCUGUUUCGUAAGUCGUGUGUGAAAGGCGCGGGCUCAACCCGAGGACGGCACAUGAUACUGCGAGACUAGAGUAAUGGAGGGGGAACCGGAAUUCUCGGUGUAGCAGUGAAAUGCGUAGAUAUCGAGAGGAACACUCGUGGCGAAGGCGGGUUCCUGGACAUUAACUGACGCUGAGGCACGAAGGCCAGGGGAGCGAAAGGGAUUAGAUACCCCUGUAGUC
rnacentral:rRNA from 1 species